GACGAACGCUGGCGGCGUGCUUAACACAUGCAAGUCGAACGGUAAGGCCCUUCGGGGUACACGAGUGGCGAACGGGUGAGUAACACGUGGGUGAUCUGCCCUGCACUUCGGGAUAAGCCUGGGAAACUGGGUCUAAUACCGGAUAGGACUCCGGCCUGCAUGGUCUGGGGUGGAAAGCUUUUGCGGUGUGGGAUGGGCCCGCGGCCUAUCAGCUUGUUGGUGGGGUGAUGGCCUACCAAGGCCACGACAGGUAGCCGGCCUGAGAGGGUGACCGGCCACACUGGGACUGGGAUACGGCCCAGAAUCCUACGGGGGGCAGCAGUGGGGAAUAUUGCACAAUGGGCGCAAGCCUGAUGCAGCGACGCCGCGUGAGGGAUGACGGCCUUCGGGUUGUAAACCUCUUUCAGCAUCGACGAAGCGAAAGUGACGGUAGGUGCAGAAGAAGGACCGGCCAACUACGUGCCAGCCGCCGCAGUAA
rnacentral:rRNA from 1 species